GGGUAGCCUCACUCGGUAUAAAAAGAAUUCCCACCAUGAAAUCAAAAUCAUAAGCAAUUCAACUUCAUAUUUACAAGCUCAAGGAAACUUUGCGGUGGAAAUCAUACUUUUUUUAAGAAAUCGAAACACGAAGAAAUGCAGUCGUCUCGAAUUCUCCUCCUUUGCGCCGUGGUCCUCGUGGUUGUCGUGUCCGUAACUGAGGGGCAAAUUGGGAGCACGGGGUGCAGUCGGAAGUGGGCGCCGGCCGGGUGGUGUUGGCGGUACUGUUCGGGAUCCUCGGGGAGCUGGUGUUACACGGGGAAACAGGGGCCAUGUGAGACUGCCUCUUGCACGGGGGGAUCCUGCUCAGGGAUAAGUUGCCAGGGGGCCGCUGCCGGAUGUGUCGGCCAUUGUUGAUAAUAUGUAAUCCCGCCACCUAUAUUAUAAGCUGGAAAUGUCUGUCUGCAACGGAAGUGAAAGUAAUUUUCGGUGACGGAAGUGAAAAUAGAGAAAGUUGAGUUUCAAAUGGCGCGAAAAUUCAAAAUAAAUUCAAGACUAAAAAAUUAAGUCUGUCAUUUCCGUUCCUUACAGAUAUUUGUAUCUUAUAAUUGUCCCUCGCUCGGCGGGAGACGGGCUUAUAUGCUAGUUAGUAUAAAUUUUGAUUCAUUUCCGUUUUGCCAAUUUAACCGUGACCAAUUUGUAAAAAAUAUGCCAAUUUAAUACUUAUUUGAUAACACAUUUAUUAAUAAAGUUCAUUCACAAGACGAAUAACUAA